rnacentral:rRNA from 1 species
CAAUAGCGUAUAUUUAAGUUGUUGCAGUUAAAAAGCUCGUAGUUGGAUUUCGGGCCCAGGUGACCGGUCCGCCGUUUCGGUGUGCACUGGUUAGCUCGGUCUUUCUGCCGGGGACACGCUCCGUCUUAAUUGCCGGACGUGGAGUCGGCGAUGUUACUUUGAAAAAUUAGAGUGUUCAAAGCAGGCUUACGCUCUGAAUACUAUAGCAUGGAAUAACACGAUAGGACUCCGGGCCUAUUUUGUUGGUCUUCGGGACCGGAGUAAUGAUUAAGAGGGACAGUUGGGGGCAUUCGUAUUACGGUGUCAGAGGUGAAAUUCUUGGAUUUCCGUAAGACGAACUUCUGCGAAAGCAUUUGCCAAGGAUGUUUUCAUUAAUCAAGAACGAAAGUUGGGGGCUCGAAGACGAUUAGAUACCGU